GUGAGUCUUACAGGCAGCCAUCAUCAAUGUAACUCUUCAUAUCUAAUCAUCUCUUUCACUUUCCCCACACAUCCGAAACUCACCACAAUCAAGCAUUACCAUUUCCUCUCCAAUGACCACCGCCUCCUACCUCACAAUGAAUCGGCAAGUGAGAAGCUUAAAAGUUAUUGAAUCGGUCAGUGAAGAUUAACCCUAUAGGCGAGAGUCGUGACGGCCCUCGGACCAAACCAUAGUAAAUUGAAGCACAUACAUACGGAAUGAGUAAUGGCGUACCAUCAGGUCGCAAUGGGACCUUUGAUGUUUGCAUCAAUGUUUAUAGAGAGGGCCCAACAAUUUCUUUCGGUUUCCAUUUGAUUUGACUGAAUGUUAGUCAAAGUACUGAAAUGCUUUGGUUGUUAAGUUCAAGCAUGUUCUCUUGUUUGUUGCUAUAUAUAUAUUGCAGGUUAAAGGAGCUGCUAAUGAGGUCCUUGCUAUAUAUAUAUGUUGCUAUAUAUAUAUUCAACUAAGAUCAAGUCAAGGUUUCGCCACAGGAAGAAUAAACCUCGGAGAAUUAGAAGUCACAAUGGUUAAAGAAUCACAUAACAAAGCAUUUUUACAGGCUGACGAAUGCAGUGUGAGCGAUCAUUGUGGGACGACAGCUUUAACUGUUUUGAUCAUGGGAAGACAUAUAAUAAUAGCCAAUGCUGGUGACUCUCGUGCGGUCGUAUGUAAGAACGGGUCUGCAACAAAGAUGACUCAAGACCACAAGGGGUUAACUUGUUUACAAGAAAAGGAAAGAUGCGAGCGGUGAGGUGGUUACUUUGAUGAAGACGGGUACCUGAACGGUCAACUAAGUGUGACCCGUGCGCUUGGAGACUAGCACAUGAAGAAGGAGAAGUUGGUGAUUGCUGAACCGGAUGUGAGACAAAUGGUGUUGACGGAUAAUAAUGAGUUUAUGAUCAUUGCGUGUGAUGGGAUAUGGGAUGUGAUGUCAAACCAAAAUCGAUAGCGCUAUAAUCGAAACUGGUACCCGUAAUAUUUUUUUAUGGUUCUCGAUCGUUUUGAUAUCCUUUUUGGCGUAUUACGCCUUUAUUUUUUAUUUUUUGGAUUUUUCAGUAUUGUAAUGAACCGAAACAAUGUUUUGAUAAACAAUGUUUCCUUCACCCUAAUCGAUUCUUGUUAUAACCCGAUUUGCCACCUGUAGUUUUACGCAAUGUACAUGCUAUUGAGUGACUUGACGACGGGCUUCAGAUUAACAGGUUCUUCUUAUUCAUGAAGUAUUCACAAUGAUCUUGCGUGGUUUGUCUGCUACAAAGCUUACUAGACCUGGCAAGUUAUGUAGCUGUCAAGAGUCAAUACGAUUAUGCUGAUAGAACUUGGGUUCAGGCCAUUUGGUUCUUGUUUUUUGUAAAAAUAAAGCUGGUAACAAAAUGUCAUUUCUGUUCACAUCGACCUUCAUAUGCCACUUCUUUUGAUCUUCAUAAAAUAACUUAUGUGCACAUUCGCGAUUGUGGAUUUUGAAAAUUGACGAGUACGGGGAAACUCUCGGGAUAAGUCGUUCUGGAAUUGUGCUAGAUUCGUAUAUGAGGAUGAUGGGAAUCAACUAUGAGAGGGAAGUGACUUGUAGGUAUUCUUAAGGGGCUAAAGUGUAAUAUAGGGGGUACUAUAAGUAAUAGAGAAUAAGGCGUGUUAGGAGGUAGGAUUGAGUUUGUUAAUCGAUUAGGGCUCCUGCGUUGUGCAGUGAGAGAGGGCUAGGCCCUGGACUAUCUCUGUUUCCAUUCUUUUAUCUUUACGUAUAUCAUCAUCA